rnacentral:tRNA from 1 species
GGUGGGUUGGCCGAGUGGUCAGGCGACAGCUUGCAAAGCCGUUUACGCAGGCUCGAAUCCUGCGCCCACCUCCA